rnacentral:rRNA from 1 species
GAGACCCGUGCCCACAGUUGCCAGCAUCUCCGCAUGGAGGAUGGGCACUCUGUGGGGACUGCCGCCGCUAAGGUGGAGGAAGAAGCGGGCCACGGUAGGUCAGUAUGCCCCGAAUCCUCCGGGCUACACGCGUGCUACAAUGGGUAGUACAAUGGGUAUCGACCCCGAAAGGGGAGGGUAAUCUCCUAAAGCUACCCCCAGUUGGGAUCGAGGGCUGCAACUCGCCCUCGUGAACCUGGAAUCCGUAGUAAUCGCCCCUCACAAUGGGGCGGUGAAUAU